rnacentral:rRNA from 1 species
AGCGAACGCUGGCGGCAGGCCUAACACAUGCAAGUCGAACGAACUCUUCGGAGUUAGUGGCGGACGGGUGAGUAACACGUGGGAACGUGCCGUUAGGUUCGGAAUAACUCAGGGAAACUUGUGCUAAUACCGAAUGUGCCCUUCGGGGGAAAGAUUUAUCGCCUUUAGAUCGGCCCGCGUCUGAUUAGCUAGUUGGUGAGGUAAAGGCUCACCAAGGCGACGAUCAGUAGCUGGUCUGAGAGGAUGAUCAGCCACAUUGGGACUGAGACACGGACCAAACUCCUACGGGAGGCAGCAGUGGGGAAUCUUGCGCAAUGGGCGAAAGUCUGACGCAGCCAUGCCGCGUGAAUGAUGAAGGUCUUAGGAUUGUAAAAUUCUUUCAACGGGGACGAUAAUGACGGUACCCGGAGAAGAAGCCCCGGCUAACUUCGUG